rnacentral:rRNA from 1 species
GCCCAUAAGACUGGGAUAACUACCGGAAACGGUAGCUAAUACCGGAUAGGUUCUUCUCUCGCAUGGGAGAGGAAAGAAAGACGGAGCAAUCUGUCACUUAUGGAUGGACCUGCGGCGCAUUAGCUAGUUGGUGGGGUAACGGCUCACCAAGGCGACGAUGCGUAGCCGACCUGAGAGGGUGAUCGGCCACACUGGGACUGAGACACGGCCCAGACUCCUACGGGAGGCAGCAGUAGGGAAUCUUCCGCAAUGGGCGAAAGCCUGACGGAGCAACGCCGCGUGAGUGAUGAAGGUUUUCGGAUCGUAAAGCUCUGUUGCCAGGGAAGAACGUCUCUUAGAGUAACUGCUAAGAGAGUGACGGUACCUGAGAAGAAAGCCCCGGCUAACUACGUGCCAGCAGCCGCGGUAAUACGUAGGGGGCAAGCGUUGUCCGGAAUUAUUGGGCGUAAAGCGCGCGCAGGCGGUCAUUUAAGUUGGGUGUUUAACCCCAGGGCUCAACCCUGGGUCGCACCCAAAACUGGAUGACUUGAGUGCAAAAGAAGAGAGUGGAAUUCCACGUGUAGCGGUGAAAUGCGUAAAGAUGUGGAGGAACACCAGUGGCAAAAGCGACUCUCUGGGCUGUAACUGACGCUGAGGCGCGAAAGCGUGGGGAGCAAACAGGAUUAUAUACCCUGGUACUCCACGCCGUAAACGAUGAAUGCUACGUGUUAGGGGGUUUCCAU